rnacentral:rRNA from 1 species
UGGGGAAUAUUGGACAAUGGGCGAAAGCCUGAUCCAGCCAUGCCGCGUGUGUGAAGAAGGUCUUCGGAUUGUAAAGCACUUUAAGUUGGGAGGAAGGGCAGUAAGCGAAUACCUUGCUGUUUUGACGUUACCGACAGAAUAAGCACCGGCUAACUCUGUGCCAGCAGCCGCGGUAAUACAGAGGGUGCAAGCGUUAAUCGGAAUUACUGGGCGUAAAGCGCGCGUAGGUGGUUCGUUAAGUUGAAUGUGAAAGCCCCGGGCUCAACCUGGGAACUGCAUCCAAAACUGGCGAGCUAGAGUAGGGCAGAGGGUGGUGGAAUUUCCUGUGUAGCGGUGAAAUGCGUAGAUAUAGGAAGGAACACCAAUGGCGAAGGCGACCACCUGGGCUCAUACUGACACUGAGGUGCGAAAGCGUGGGGAGCAAACAGG